rnacentral:rRNA from 1 species
GACGAACGCUGGCGGCGUGCCUAAUACAUGCAAGUAGAACGCUGAAGGAGGAGCUUGCUCUUCUGGAUGAGUUGCGAACGGGUGAGUAACGCGUAGGUAACCUGCCUGGUAGCGGUGGAUAACUAUUGGAAACGAUAGCUAAUACCGCAUAACAGUAGAUGUUGCAUGACAUUUGCUUAAAAGGUGCAAUUGCACCACUACCAGAUGGACCUGCGUUGUAUUAGCUAGUUGGUGGGGUAACGGCUCACCAAGGCGACGAUACAUAGCCGACCUGAGAGGGUGAUCGGCCACACUGGGACUGAGACACGGCCCAGACUCCUACGGGAGGCAGCAGUAGGGAAUCUUCGGCAAUGGACGGAAGUCUGACCGAGCAACGCCGCGUGAGUGAAGAAGGUUUUCGGAUCGUAAAGCUCUGUUGUAAGAGAAGAACGAGUGUGAGAGUGGAAAGUUCACACUGUGACGGUAUCUUACCAGAAAGGGACGGCUAACUACGUG